CUGAGAGGAUGACCAGCCACACUGGAACUGAGACACGGUCCAGACUCCUACGGGAGGCAGCAGUGGGGAAUAUUGCACAAUGGGCGCAAGCCUGAUGCAGCCAUGCCGCGUGUAUGAAGAAGGCCUUCGGGUUGUAAAGUACUUUCAGCGGGGAGGAAGGGAGUAAAGUUAAUACCUUUGCUCAUUGACGUUACCCGCAGAAGAAGCACCGGCUAACUCCGUGCCAGCAGCCGCGGUAAUACGGAGGGUGCAAGCGUUAAUCGGAAUUACUGGGCGUAAAGCGCACGCAGGCGGUUUGUUAAGUCAGAUGUGAAAUCCCCGGGCUCAACCUGGGAACUGCAUCUGAUACUGGCAAGCUUGAGUCUCGUAGAGGGGGGUAG
rnacentral:rRNA from 1 species